CCGUGCUAGGCGGGGAGCUAGCGGUGCCCUGUACCCGCAAUCCGCUACAGCGGGGCUUAAUUCCCGUCCGAGGGGCCGGUCCCAGGGCUCGGUUCCGUUCAGAGCAGCGUCGAUGGCGAGGUCCCAUUCGGUGGACGACCGCGAAUCAGGUCAGGUCCGGAAGGAAGCAGCCUUAAGCGGACCCGUUCACGCGCAGUGGGGUCACCUCGCCGGAGCCAGCGGUGCGGAACUCACCUUGGAAUCGCGCAACGACGACGGGUGCACGG
rnacentral:SRP_RNA from 1 species